AGAAAUCACAAGUAUUAUUUCCAUUCCAAAGGAAAUUGUUUUGAAAGAGCACCUGCAGAAGAUACACAUAAACAUAGGCAGAGCAUUUUAUUCCUAAAUGUUUUUUCUAAGUGUCCGCAUGUUGCUUUUCUCCUCUUUGCUUUUUCCACAUGAUUUAUUCUUGACUUCUGGGGUGGCAGCCAGGAGAGGGAUCAAGAAAGGUUGCAAGAGAAGGUGGAGAUAAUUGUUUUGCUUGUGACAAGUUCAGUCUGCAUGCUUUUUUGGUAAUAUUAAAAAUAUCUGUGGGAAAGUCUUGCUAUAAGUAUUUAAAAUGUGCUUCAGACAAAAUUCUUCUAUGUUCCAAGGACCAUCCGUGAUGACCAUGAGCUGCACAUACACCCUGCAUCAGUCCUCUAUGCAGAGAAGCCGCCUCGCUGGGUCAUCUAUAACGAAGUUAUACAAACCUCCAAGUAUUACAUGAGAGAUGUGACUGCCAUUGAAUCGGCCUGGCUGUUGGAGCUGGCUCCACACUUUUAUCAACAAGGAACGCACCUGUCUCUGAAAGCCAAAAGGGCCAAGGUCCAGGACCAGUGAGAGGAGCCCACAGCUACAGCUGCAGGGACUGCUGGCGUCCUCUCCUCCAUGCUGCUGCCCCUGGUCCCAGGUGGGGUGAGCUGGCACCAGCUC
rnacentral:sRNA from 1 species